rnacentral:rRNA from 1 species
GCUUACGGCCAUACCACCCUGAGAACGCACGAUCUCGUCUGAUCUCGGAAGCUAAGCAGGGUCGGGCCUGGUUAGUACUUGGAUGGGAGACCGCCUGGGAAUACCAGGUGCUGUAAGCU